rnacentral:lncRNA from 1 species
GGAGACUGUUGGAGGUAUGCCCUAGAGGCAAUCAUAGAGAUGAUGAUAUUCCAUUUGUAUCCAUGAUUUGUAUGUUGUGUUCAUUGAAUAUCCAUUGAAGGCUACUUGAAUUGAUUUGCAAUUAUGUGAAUUGUAUGUGAAACUCUUUACUUGUAUGGUUAUUCUAAAGUUGUCCCUAGUCGGAGUUUAUGUGAGGACACACAUGAAUAUUAGACUAGCACAUGUAUUAGUUGAUGACUAUGUUUCACAAGUCAUGGACAUGGAGAUGUUGAACUAAUAAUGUGGACACAUGUGGAGACAUGUGCUAGGACUGACCCAACACGAGAAGUAGUUCUCUCUUUAAACAACAUAUACGCUUUGUCCUUAGACCUGAGACUGUCGCAUGUAUUCU